GAAGCCCCAACCCUAGCUCCCACCCCUUCCACUGUUGGCCCGGUGGUUUAGCCCAAAAAAUCUAUUAAUCCAAGCCCACAACAUCUUAGGCCAAGCCCAAAACUCGGUAGCCCAAACCGAGCCCAAUUAUUUCUAGAUCAACCCUAGUCCAAACUCAUACCCAUUCUAAGCCUAAGCCCAAGCCCAAGCCCAAACUUUCGUAGGCCA
rnacentral:lncRNA from 1 species